rnacentral:rRNA from 1 species
CAGCCGCCGCGGUAAUACGGAGGGUGCAAGCGUUAAUCGGAAUUACUGGGCGUAAAGCGCGCGUAGGCGGCUAUAUAAGUCGGAUGUGAGAGCCUACGGCUCAACCGUAGAACUGCAUCCAAAACUAUUUAGCUAGAGUGUGGGAGAGGAAGAUGGAAUUAGUUGUGUAGGGGUAAAAUCCGUAGAGAUAACUAGGAAUACCAAAAGCGAAGGCAAUCUUCUGGAACACUACUGACGCUGAGGCGCGAAAGCGUGGGGAGCAAACAGGAUUAGAUACCCUGGUAGUCCACGCAGUAAACGAUGAAUGUUAGUCGUCGGGUAGCUAGUCUAUUCGGUGAUGCAGCUAACGCAUUAAACAUUCCGCCUGGGGAGUACGGUCGCAAGAUUAAAACUCAAAGGAAUAGACGGGGACCCGCACAAGUGGUGGAGCAUGUGGUUUAAUUCGAAGAUACGCGAAGAACCUUACCUAGCCUUGACAUAUUUUAGAACACUUUAGAGAUAGAGUGGUGCCUUCGGGAGCUAAUUUACAGGUGCUGCACGGCUGUCGUCAGCUCGUGUCGUGAGAUGUUGGGUUAAGUCCCGCAACGAGCGCAACCCUCGUCACUAGUUACUAACGGUUCGGCCGAGGACUCUAGUGAGACUGCCUUCGUAAGGAGGAGGAAGGUGAGGACGACGUCAAGUCAUCAUGGCCCUUACGGCUAGGGCAACACACGUGGUACAAUGGACAGUACAGAGGGUCGCGACACUGCGAGGUGGAGCCAACCCCUUAAAGCUGUUCUUAGUUCGGAUUGGAGUCUGCAACUCGACUCCAUGAAGCUGGAAUCGCUAGUAAUCGCGGAUCAG